AUGUGUGGUUCAUGAAAAUUGUCAAGAAUAAGGUCACUUUAAAAGAUACCAAGUCAGAUUUAGAAGGUAGCGAGAGGGUAAAACUGACUACCGUGCGGAAAUGAUUGGUGAUCCAGGACAAAAAUAAGUAUAACACACCCAAAUAUAGGAUGAUAGUUUGUUUAACUAACAGAGAUAUAAUCUUCCAGACGAUAUAUGCCUGUAUAGAGGGCGAUAUGAUCAUCCGUGCAGCUUCCAAAUACUGUAUGAAAGUUGGCCUGACAAAUUAUACUUCAGCCUAUUCCACUGGCUUGCUGCUGGCUACAGGCUUCUAAAUACGUAACAUGUGCUACCUAGUGGAGGAAGAUGAAGAUGCGUAUAAGAAACAGUUCUCUCAGUACAUCAAGAACAACAUAACUCUAGACAUGGGGAUGUAUAAGGAAGUUCAUGCUUUAUAGAUCUUGUCAUGCAUGGACAAGAUCUAUAAAGGCCAAAUGGAGGUGAAUGGAGAUAAGUACAAUGUGGAAAGCAUUGACGGUCAGCCUGGUGCCUUGACUUACUAUUUGGAUGCAGGUAUUACCCAAACUACAACUGGCAAUAAAGUUUUGGGGCCCUGAAGGAAGCUGUGGAUGGAGGCUUGUCUAUUCCUUAUAGUACCAAACAAUUCCCUGACUACUCUGAAAGCAAGGAAUUCAAUGCAGAGGUACAUUGGAAGCACAUCAUGGGUCAGAAUGUGGCAGACUACAUGUGCUAUAAGAAACACUUCUCUCAGUACAUCAAAAACAACAUAACUCUAGACAUGGAGAUGUAUAAGAAAGUUCAUGCUGAUAUCUGAGAGAAUCCAGUCUAUGUGAAGAAGCCCAAGAGAGAAGUAAAGAAAAAGAGGUGAAAUCAUCCCAAAAUGUCUCUUGCCCAGAAAAAAGACUGGGUUGCUCAAAAGAAGGCAAGCUUCCUCAGAGCUCAGGAACAGGCUGCUGAAAGCUAA
rnacentral:lncRNA from 1 species